UACGAAGGGGGCUAGCGUUGCUCGGAAUCACUGGGCGUAAAGCGCACGUAGGCGGCCUCUUAAGUCGGUGGUGAAAUCCUGGAGCUCAACUCCAGAACUGCCUUUGAUACUGGCGAUCUCGAGUCCGGGAGAGGUGAGUGGAACUGCGAGUGUAGAGGUGAAAUUCGUAGAUAUUCGCAAGAACACCAGUGGCGAAGGCGGCUCACUGGCCCGGUACUGACGCUGAGGUGCGAAAGCGUGGGGAGCAAACGGG
rnacentral:rRNA from 1 species